AUUUUCUUUCCAUUACUUUUGGUGGGUUUUUUUUUUUCUCUCCCCCGGGGGAAACUACAUAUCAAUAAGCGGAGGAAAAGAAACCAACAGGGAUUGCCCUAGUAACGGCGAGUGAAGCGGCAACAGCUCAAAUUUGAAAUCUGGCUCUUUCAGAGUCCGAGUUGUAAUUUGCAGAGGGCGCUUUGGCUUUGGCAGCGGUCCAAGUUCCUUGGAACAGGACGUCACAGAGGGUGAGAAUCCCGUACGUGGUCGCUAGCUAUUGCCGUGUAAAGCCCCUUCGACGAGUCGAGUUGUUUGGGAAUGCAGCUCUAAAUGGGAGGUAAAUUUCUUCUAAAGCUAAAUAUUGGCCAGAGACCGAUAGCGCACAAGUAGAGUGAUCGAAAGAUGAAAAGCACUUUGGAAAGAGAGUCAAACAGCACGUGAAAUUGUUGAAAGGGAAGCGCUUGCAGCCAGACUUGCUUGCAGUUGCUCAUCCGGGCUUUUGCCCGGUGCACUCUUCUGUAGGCAGGCCAGCAUCAGUUUGGGCGGUGGGAUAAAGGUCUCUGUCACGUACCUCUCUUCGGGGAGGCCUUAUAGGGGAGACGACAUACCACCAGCCUAGACUGAGGUCCGCGCAUCUGCUAGGAUGCUGGCGUAAUGGCUGUAAGCGGCCCGUCUUGAAACACGGACCAAGGAGUCUAACAUCUAUGCGAGUGUUUGGGUGUCAAGCCCGAGCGCGUAAUGAAAGUGAACGGAGGUGGGAACCCGCAAGGGUGCACCAUCGACCGAUCCUGAAGUUUACGGAAGGAUUUGAGUAAGAGCAUGGCUGUUGGGACCCGAAAGAUGGUGAACUAUGCUUGAAUAGGGUGAAGCCAGAGGAAACUCUGGUGGAGGCUCGCAGCGGUUCUGACGUGCAAAUCGAUCGUCAAAUUUGGGCAUAGGGGCGAAAGACUAAUCGAACUAUCUAGUAGCUGGUUCCUGCCGAUUUUCCUUCCCGGAGAAAAAGAAAAAACCCCUCCCAUGUUUGUUUAGUAUAGUCCUUUGCCCCUUUUCCCAAAUUUGACGAUUGAUUUGCACGUCGGAACCGCUUCGAGCCUCCCCCAGAGUUUCCCCUGGCUUCACCUAUUCAGGCAAAGUUAACAUCUGUCGGGUCCAACAGCCUGCUUUAAUCAAAUCCUUCCUAAACUUCAGGAUGGGUGGAUGGGUGCACCUUGGCGGGUUCCACUCCUUUAUUUUCAUUACCCGUGGGGCUGGAACCCAAACCUCCCAAAGAUUUUUGAAACUCCUGGUUCCGGUUUUCAGAACGGGCGCUUAAAGCCUUUACCCGCCCCCAACAAAAUCCGGAACUAAUUCUGGGCCGGGUGGGUUGUUUCCUUCCCCAUUAAGGCUCCCCAAAAAAGGGGUUCUUUGACGAAAACCUUUUUUCCCACCAACCGAAAUUCUUGCGUGCCACCAAAAAAAUGGCCCGGGAGAAAACCCCGAUAAAAGAAUUCCGCCCAUAG
rnacentral:rRNA from 1 species